rnacentral:rRNA from 1 species
UUUCGCAAUGCCCGAAAGGGUGACGAAGCGACGCCGCGUGAGUGAGGAAGGCCUUCGGGUUGUAAAGCUCUGUCAGGAGUUAAGAAAUAUAAGUGUGCUAAUACCACAUUUAUUUGACAAAAGCUCCAAAGGAAGCCACGGCUAACUCUGUGCCAGCAGCCGCGGUAAUACAGAGGUGGCAAGCGUUGUUCGGAAUUAUUGGGCGUAAAGAGCACGUAGGUGGGUUUGUAAGUCAGAUGUGAAAGCCUUCUGUUCAACGGAAGAAUUGCAUUUGAAACUGCGAGUCUUGAGUGUAGGAGGGGAGAAUGGAACUUCUGGUGGAGCGGUGAAAUGCGUAGAUAUCAGAAGGAACGCCGGCGGCGAAAGCGAUUCUCUGGCCUAUUACUGACACUCAGUGUGCGAAAGCUAGGGGAGCAAACGGGAUUAGAUACCCCGGUAGUCCUAGCUGUAAACGAUGGGCACUAAGUAGAGGGGUUUUA